AGGCGAUGUUGGUUUGCAAACUGGCCCCUGGACACAGAGGGCAAGAAGAAACCAAGAAAGAAGCAGGUCUCUCCAGAUGGGCCAACGGAGGAGACAAAGACGAGCCAAAUGAUUGUUGCGGUGGAAAACAGUGUGUGUGCACCUGGCCUUGAGGAGAGGGAGCCUGGCCUCCUUCAGAACGUAGCCUUGUAUGAUGUUUUCAACCAGUUCAGCAUGCCACAGGACAGCCGGAUCCCCAUGGAGAUUGGAGCGGUCCGCCACCCACCCCCACAGAGGGUGCAAAGUAAUUCACCCGUGCUGGCGGGAUGUCUUACUGCAGAUUGCACCAGAUGAUGCA